UUAGUGGCGAACGGGUGAGUAACACGUGAGUAACCUGCCCUUGACUUCGGGAUAACUCCGGGAAACCGGGGCUAAUACCGGAUAUGAGCCGCCUUCGCAUGGGGGUGGUUGGAAAGUUUUUCGGUCAGGGAUGGGCUCGCGGCCUAUCAGCUUGUUGGUGGGGUGAUGGCCUACCAAGGCGACGACGGGUAGCCGGCCUGAGAGGGCGACCGGCCACACUGGGACUGAGACACGGCCCAGACUCCUACGGGAGGCAGCAGUGGGGAAUAUUGCACAAUGGGCGAAAGCCUGAUGCAGCGACGCCGCGUGAGGGAUGACGGCCUUCGGGUUGUAAACCUCUUUCAGCAGGGAAGAAGCGCAAGUGACGGUACCUGCAGAAGAAGCGCCGGCUAACUACGUGCCAGCAGCCGCGGUAAUACGUAGGGCGCAAGCGUUGUCCGGAAUUAUUGGGCGUAAAGAGCUCGUAGGCGGUUUGUCGCGUCUGGUGUGAAAACUCGAGGCUCAACCUCGAGCUUGCAUCGGGUACGGGCAGACUAGAGUGCGGUAGGGGAGACUGGAAUUCCUGGUGUAGCGGUGGAAUGCGCAGAUAUCAGGAGGAACACCGAUGGCGAAGGCAGGUCUCUGGGCCGCAACUGACGCUGAGGAGCGAAAGCAUGGGGAGCGAACAGGAUUAGAUACCCUGGUAGUCCAUGCCGUAAACGUUGGGCACUAGGUGUGGGGCUCAUUCCACGAGUUCCGUGCCGCAGCAAACGCAUUAAGUGCCCCGCCUGGGGAGUACGGCCGCAAGGCUAAAACUCAAAGGAAUUGACGGGGGCCCGCACAAGCGGCGGAGCAUGCGGAUUAAUUCGAUGCAACGCGAAGAACCUUACCAAGGCUUGACAUGCACGGGAAGCCACCAGAGAUGGUGGUCUCUUUGGACACUCGUGCACAGGUGGUGCAUGGUUGUCGUCAGCUCGUGUCGUGAGAUGUUGGGUUAAGUCCCGCAACGAGCGCAACCCUCGUCCCAUGUUGCCAGCGGGUUAUGCCGGGGACUCAUGGGAGACUGCCGGGGUCAACUCGGAGGAAGGUGGGGAUGACGUCAAAUCAUCAUGCCCCUUAUGUCUUGGGCUUCACGCAUGCUACAAUGGCCGGUACAAAGGGCUGCGAUACCGUAAGGUGGAGCGAAUCCCAAAAAGCCGGUCUCAGUUCGGAUUGGGGUCUGCAAC
rnacentral:rRNA from 1 species